CCUACGGGGGGCUGCAGUAACGAAUCUUCCGCAAUGCACGCAAGUGUGACGGAGCGACGCCGCGUGUGGGACGAAGCCCCUCGGGGUGUAAACCACUGUCAGAGGAUAGAUCGUCCUCAGAGGAAGGCACGGCUAACUCUGUGCCAGCAGCCGCGGUAAGACAGAGGUGCCGAGCGUUAGGCGGAAUCACUGGGCUUAAAGCGUGUGUAGGCGGACCGUUAAGUGCCUUGUGAAAUCCCCCGGCUCAACCGGGGAACGGCUGGGCAUACUGGCGGUCUUGAGUCACCCAGGGGUCAGCGGAACAAACGGUGGAGCGGUGAAAUGCGUAGAUAUCGUUUGGAACGCCGACGGCGAAAGCAGCUGACUGGGGGUGUCUGACGCUGAGACACGAAAGCCAGGGGAGCGAACGGGAUUAGAUACCCUUGUAGUC
rnacentral:rRNA from 1 species